ACGGGGGAGCCUGGUGGUCUUCUGUCUAUGGGGUUGCGCAGAGUCAGACACGACUGAAACGACCUAGCAGCAGCAGCAAAAGUGAAAAAAGAUUUGAAAGAAGCCAGAGGGAAAAAACACUUUAGCCCUGGAAGAGCAAGGAGAAGGAAUUGCAUCAGACUGGGUUUCAAAACCAUGCAAAAGGGAGUAGAGGAAAAUACUUUCUGUGUUGAGGGGAAGAAGAAAAAAAAAAAAAAAACACCGAGAAUUCUGUAGUAUCUGAUAUUAUCCUUCAAAAGAAGAAAUACCUUUAUACAAACUAAAAUUUAGGGAAUUUGUCACCAAUGGACUUCCCUUGCAAGAAUUACUAAAAGAAAUUCUUAAGGGAGAAGGAAAGUAAUAUAGGUCAGAAACAAUCUACACAAAGGAAGAGCAUUAAGGAAUAAAUGAAGGCAAGAUAACUCACCUGAAUGUGGUGGGAAAGAGCGUUAUUUGCGAGGACUGACCUGGAAAACUCAGGAGGUAAUAAUGGAGAUACAGAGCUGAGACUUGGUUAGAAGAUGGAAAAUGGACUUAACAGAGGGAGAAAAGAUUGCCUUAACUUUCUUCAGAUGCUCCAGAAAAGCAGAUUAGAAAGGCUCUUCAGAAUUAAAUCUGGAAAGGGAGGUCAUCCAGUUGGAGGAAUGGUUGCAGGAAACACCUGUGAAGUACUUUGAAAAACACAGACUUCAGGACUAUACAUCAAGAGCAACCACAUCAAUUACUGUAUCCCUGGCCUGUAUCACUGGUGGAGGCUGUAGACAUCAGCUGGUGUUGAAGGUGAUGCUCAGCCUUGAUGCUCAAGGUCCUUAAUUUAGUCCUCAGUCCUGAGCCUGAACCCUACUGGGCAGAGAAACAAUCUGUUCCAUCCUUGGAACUUCCAGCUUGAUUGACUACACAAGGUAUUUUGGUUUAGUAGGCCCUUAAAUAAGAUAACUUUUCUUUAGGUCUAAUCUCUCUCCUGCUGACAGUUCCUAUCCUCCUGGGCCUUGCCCUUAAAACUGUCUACUGUUUAUUUGAAAAGUGCAGAUAACACAAUACAAGCCGGUACUCUAGCAACCGUUAAAAUCUAUCUCAGGACACCGAGCAUGCAGAGGAACGCUGCACUCACCCCCUCUCCAUUCUAUUCCUAUCAGAGGGAACGUGGAAAACAUUCUCUCUUCUCUUGGUCAGCAUCCUCCUCUUACUGAAAGGCUGGUGUGCCUGCAUCUGAAAUGCGGAUGUGGUGGAGGAUGAAGUCUAGCUUUCGGCCUCAACAAAGACACAAUGGUUCAGAGAAGACCAGAGCAGAGCAUCCAGCCAGGCAGGAUCCAGGCCUCCGGGAUCUGCGGGAAGCGUGGGUUUCCCUGUACCGGCAGGGUGGGCUGCCAGCUCUGGGCUCUGAUGCCUGCAGAGCCCUCUUCCUGAUGUCUUCAUCAGACCAAGCCUCACUCUCGCCGGGGAGAGGGUAGCCACACAAGAAUGUAUGCGUUAGGAAGAUUUCUGCAACAUGACA